CUCUCUCUCCCUGUCCACUCCCUCAAGCUCUCCCUCUCCGCUCGCUCUACCUCUCGCUCCGCACCAACCUCCCUCAACAGGUCACGAGCUUCUUGGAUUUCCCUUUCACAGCCGUACGGAACGAAGAUUCCAGAACGUUACCACGCCACGAAGAGGUCCUGGCUUACAUCGAGGACUUCACGGCUGAGUUCGAACUUCUUGAGCUGAUCCGGUUCGGCGCGGAGGUCGUCCGAGUCAUUCCGAAGGCAAUUAUGUCCUGAGUGAUUUUGGUUCCUGAUAACAAUUUUAGGUUCCGAAAGCAAUUUUGGAUCUCAGGAGCAAUUACGAGUCUUGGAAGUGAUUGAGGUGAUUUCGGGUCUCAAUAACAAUUGCAACUCUUGAGAGCGAUUUUGGGUCCAAGGAGCGAUUAAGGUGUGAUUCCAGCAGAGGAAUCUACAAACAGGUGCUACUUUGUCUCGUCUUGGGUGCAAUUGUCCCUCAUCCAUGGCUAUUUACCCUCCCUUGACCUUUGGAGAUCCCUUGGCUGUCUAACAUGGGAAGUUAGCUUGCUGCCCCAUUGCUAAUGAUAGUACUCGUUGUCAGCAAUUUGAGUAUAGACUGUUGAACUAUUUCUUUUCAUUUUCUUUUUGAAAGAUGAAGAUGGAUUCUUAAUGGAUAAGCUCACUUGUGUAUUGCCAUUGCCUUGUAUGUUUAACUGCUGAUUUAUAUUUAUUAUGGAUUUCAUUACAAUACUCCUGCUAGGCUGUUGUUGGGAUUUCAUUGCAGUACUCUUGCUGGUGUGAUCAGUAAGAGCAGUGGGGAUGAGGAUAAAUGCCUUGAAGGUCAACUACGUGAUGCCAAGGCUGCUGCUGGGAAAGUUGAGACAAUUGGGAAAAAAAAAAAAAAAAAGAAGAAGAAAGAUUCAAGUCAUUUAGCUUUCAUUGGAGUUGGUUGAAUUGGCUGCUUCAAAUGAUGCAUUGGAAACAUCCUGAAAGCAUCCAUUCAAUGCUAUCCAUUCCAUGAGCUUGCUGCGGCUUAGUUUUCAGCAAUGGAAUACUGAAUAUGAGUAUGCUGACAGUCAAUUGCGAUCUUGUGCUUUGAUUCAGGUGCAUGGUUUUAUAUAUUGUCUGAGUUGUAUCUAUUUUGAUCCGAAACGAAGAGUCACCACACCGAUAUAGGACCAAGCUUGACAAAUCAGGUUGAACAAUACCAUUUGUGUUCCCCAGGCAAUUCACACUCCGAAACCACUACUCAAAUCCAUGUUCAGGGAAGGAGCGGACAUUCGAGGCUAUUUUUUGUGGUCUUACAUUGACAACUUCGAGUGGGACAGUGGCUAUUCGUUUCGCCUUGGCCUUUACUAUGUGAAUUACACUAAUAAUGAUCUGCGAUGGUUCCCAAGAGCAUCUGCAACUUGGUUUAGAGAAGAUAUGAAUACAGAUUUGAUGAGUGCGGCCCAGAAAUCAGCAUAUUGAAGUAGGUCAUCUUCUUCAAUAACAUUCAUCUGAUGGGCCAUUUUUGAUACAGAAGCACUUGUAUUCUACUUGGCAGGGCAGGAGACCACGUCACCUUUUCUUUUCU